rnacentral:rRNA from 1 species
GGAGGUAGUGACAAUAAAUCACAAUGCGGAACUUUUGUUUUGCAAUUGGAUUGAGAACAACGCACAACACUUAUCGAUAAACAAUUGGAGGGCAAGUCUGGUGCCAGCAGCCGCGGUAAUUCCAGCUCCAAUAGCGUAUAUUAACGUUGUUGCAGUUAAAAAGCUCGUAGUUGAAGUGAAGUAAUGAAGUUGUGAUUUGAAAUUUUCAUUUCGCUUCUUAAUUACUCUUUCCAAAUUGUUUGCAUGGAUAUUCAUUUAUCUGUGUAUUGCAUUUGGUCAUUUACUGUGAGAAAAUUAGAGUGUUCAAAGCAUACGUUUGUUUGAAUACAUUAGCAUGGAAUAAUUCGAAAAGGCUUUCAUGUUCGAUUUGAUUGGUUUGUUCGUGAGAGCAAGAUUAAAAGGGACAGUUGGGGGUAUUCAUAUUCAAUAGUCAGAGGUGAAAUUCUCGGAUUUAUGGAAGAUGAACAAGUGCGAAAGCA